rnacentral:rRNA from 1 species
GAUAAACGCUGGCGGCGUGCCUAAUACAUGCAAGUCGAUCGAUGGAUGCCCAGCUUUGCUGGGAGGAAAUAGAGGCGAACGGGUGAGUAAUACGUAAGCAACCUGCCCACGAAGACCGGGAUAAUCCCUGGAAACGGGGACUAAGACCGGAUAGGUAACAGAACCGCAUGGUACUGUUAUUAAAGGUUAAAAACACUGGUGGAUGGGCUUACGGUGCAUUAGCUUGUUGGUGAGG